UAAAAAUACAUUAAGUUUAAUUUCGAAACUCCAACACAUCGAAAUGUUCUCUUAAGAAACAGAUCAAAAUUAAUUUAAGACCAAGACAAAUCAAUGCGAUAUAACGAGUAUUUACCCAAAAAUAUGGGAUAAAAUGAGUCAUGAACAUCACUAAGAAAAGGACCAUGGAUGAGAUUUGAACUUGGUGUAUGGAGAAUCUGAAUAAUUGAGAUUUCCACAAACUUUUCACCCACAAAGAAAGGAAGAGCAAGAUUAGUAAGUUUUGCUUUGCAUAAAACAGUUGAUGAGCAUGAAGCAGAUGGACUAACUUCAAGCAAUUGUAAAAUUAAUUAUAAAAAAAAAAAAAAAAAAAAAAAAAAAAAAAAAA